rnacentral:rRNA from 1 species
AGUGACGAUAGCCUAGGAGAUACACCUGUACCCAUGCCGAACACAGCAGUUAAGCCCUAGAACGCCUGAUGUAGUUGGGGGUUGCCC